AGAAAUAUGUCUGACAAAAGAGUUACUUUGAUAGAGUAAAACAUAGGAGCUCAAACCUCCUUAUUUCUA